rnacentral:rRNA from 1 species
AGAGUUAGGUAAAUCCGGCUCUUUUUAAGGCUGAGACACGACGUCGAGCCACUACGGUGGUGAAGUCAUUGAUGCCAUGCUUCCAGGAAAAGCCUCUAAGCUUCAGAUUGUAAGGAAUCGUACCCCAAACCGACACAGGUGGUCGGGUAGAGAAUACCAAGGCGCUUGAGAGAACUCGGGUGAAGGAACUAGGCAAAAUGGUACCGUAACUUCGGGAGAAGGUACGCUCUCGACGGUGAAGUCCCUCGCGGAUGGAGCUAUUGAGAGUCGCAGAUACCAGGUGGCUGCAACUGUUUAUUAAAAACACAGCACUGUGCAAAAUCGUAAGAUGACGUAUACGGUGUGACGCCUGCCCGGUGCCGGAAGGUUAAUUGAUGGGGUUAGACUUCGGUCGAAGCUCUUGAUCGAAGCCCCGGUAAACGGCGGCCGUAACUAUAACGGUCCUAAGGUAGCGAAAUUCCUUGUCGGGUAAGUUCCGACCUGCACGAAUGGCGUAAUGAUGGCCACGCUGUCUCCACCCGAGACUCAGUGAAAUUGAAAUCGCUGUGAAGAUGCAGUGUACCCGCGGCUAGACGGAAAGACCCCGUUGAAGCACGUACGCCAGUAUGUGUGGAGCCGUCCUUGAAAUACCACCCUUGUAGUGUUGAUGUUCUAACGUCGACCCCUUAUCGGGGUUGCGGACAGUGCCUGGUGGGUAGUUUGACUGGGGCGGUCUCCUCCCAAAGAGUAACGGAGGAGCACGAAGGUGGGCUAAUCACGGUUGGACAUCGUGAGGUUAGUGCAAUGGCAUAAGCCCGCUUGACUGCGAGAAUGACAAUUCGAGCAGGUGCGAAAGCAGGUCAUAGUG